UACGUAGGGUGCGAGCGUUAAUCGGAAUUACUGGGCGUAAAGCGUGCGCAGGCGGUUCGUUGUGUCGGCGGUGAAAGCCCCGGGCUCAACCUGGGAAUGGCCGUUGAAACUGGCGAACUGGAGUGUGGCAGAGGGGGUUGGAAUUCCGCGUGUAGCAGUGAAAUGCGUAGAGAUGCGGAGGAACACCGAUGGCGAAGGCAGCCCCCUGGGCUGACACUGACGCUCAGGCACGAAAGCGUGGGGAGCAAACAGG
rnacentral:rRNA from 1 species